GUUGUAUGGUUAAGUGACUAAGCGUACACGGUGGAUGCCUGGGCAGUCAGAGGCGAUGAAGGACGUACUAACUUGCGAUAAGCGUAGAUGAGGCAGUAAGAGCCACUUGAGUCUACGAUUUCCGAAUGGGGAAACCCAACUGCAUAAGCAGUUAUCUCAAUGUGAAUUCAUAGCAUUGUGAGGCGAACCGGGGGAACUGAAACAUCUAAGUACCCCGAGGAAGAGAAAUCAACCGAGAUUCCGGCAGUAGCGGCGAGCGAAACCGGAUUAGCCCUUAAGCUAAUCUUGCGUUAGGUGAACAUGCUGGAAAGCAUGGCAAUAAAGGGUGAUAGCCCCGUAACCAACAGCGCUUUAUCAGUGAAAUCGAGUAGGACGGGACACGUGUUAUCCUGUCUGAAUAUGGGGGGACCAUCCUCCAAGGCUAAAUACUCCUGACUGACCGAUAGUGAACCAGUACCGUGAGGGAAAGGCGAAAAGUACCCCUGUGAGGGGAGUGAAAUAGAACCUGAAACCGUGUACGUACAAGCAGUAGGAGCAGGCUUGUCCUGUGACUGCGUACCUUUUGUAUAAUGGGUCAGCGACUUAAUUUUAGUAGCAAGGUUAACCAUCUAGGGGAGCCGUAGGGAAACCGAGUCUUAACUGGGCGUCAUAGUUGCUAGGAUUAGACCCGAAACCGAGUGAUCUAGCCAUGGGCAGGUUGAAGAUUGAGUAACAUCAAUUGGAGGACCGAACCGACUAAUGUUGAAAAAUUAGCGGAUGACUUGUGGCUAGGGGUGAAAGGCCAAUCAAACUCGGAGAUAGCUGGUUCUCCCCGAAAGCUAUUUAGGUAGCGCCUCGGACGAAUACUACUGGGGGUAGAGCACUGUUAAGGCUAGGGGGUCAUCCCGACUUACCAACCCUUUGCAAACUCCGAAUACCAGUAAGUACUAUCCGGGAGACACACGGCGGGUGCUAACGUCCGUCGUGAAGAGGGAAACAACCCAGACCGCCAGCUAAGGUCCCAAAGUUAUAGCUAAGUGGGAAACGAUGUGGGAAGGCUCAGACAGCCAGGAUGUUGGCUUAGAAGCAGCCAUCAUUUAAAGAAAGCGUAAUAGCUCACUGGUCGAGUCGGCCUGCGCGGAAGAUUUAACGGGGCUAAGCUAUACACCGAAGCUGCGGCAAUGUGCU
rnacentral:rRNA from 1 species